rnacentral:tRNA from 1 species
GGGCAGGUGACCGAGCGGCUGAAGGUGCGGCACUGGAAAUGCCGUGUACGAUUUUUUCGUACCGUGGGUUCGAAUCCCACCCUGUCCG